UUUUUUUAACAUAAUUUUUUUUUUUAUUUUUUUAUUUAUGAUAGUCACACACACAGAGAGAGAGAGAGAGGCAGAGACAUAGGCAGAAGGAGAAGCAGGCUCCAUGCACCGGGAGCCCGACGUGGGAUUCGAUCCCGGGUCUCCAGGAUCGGGCCCUGGGCCAAAGGCAGGCGCCAAACCGCUGCGCCACCCAGGGAUCCCUAACAUAAUAUUUUUAAAUUGUAUUUUUCCAUGUCACAAAAUAUUAUCUAGAAAAUAACUUUAUAAUCUCUAAAUUAUUAUUUUUUAAUUAAGAGAUUUUUUUUCAGACAAUUUAAAGUUCACAGCAAAACCGAAAGACAGAGAGUUCACAUAUACUCCUUGUCCCUAUACAUAUAUAACUUCCCGCAACAGCAACAUCUCCCACUCAAGUGACACAUUUGUUAAAACUGAUGAGCCAAAUUGACACAUCAUAGUCACCCAAAGCCCAGUAUCCAUUAUACUGGACUCUUGGUUUUGUACUUUCUUUGGGUUUGGACAAAAGUAUAAUGACCUAUUUCUAUGAUUAUGGUACCAUAAAUAGUAUUUUCAUCAUCCUAAAAAAUGCACUGUGUUCCUUCUAUAUUCAUUUCCUCCCCAAAACAGCUCACAACCACUGAGGAUUUAAGCAGCUCCAUACUUUUGCCUUUUCCAGAAUGUCAUACAGUUGGAAUUAUACAAUAUGUAGCCUUUUCAGAUUGAUUUCUUUCACGUAGUCAUUACUAAUGUGCAUUUAUUUACUUAUUUAUUUUUUAAAGACUUUAUUUAUAGAGACACACAGAGAGAGUGAGGGAGGCAGAGACACAGGCAGAGGGAGAAACAGGCCCCAUGCAGGGAGCCUGACGUGAGACUCAAUCCCGGGUCUCCAGGAUUGCGCCCUGGGCCAAAGGCGGGCGCUAAACCGCUGCGCCACCGGGGCUGCCCACUAAUGUGCAUUUAAAGUUCUUCCAUGUCUUUUCAUAGCUUGAUAGCGCAUUUCUUUUUCGCACUGAAUAAUGAUUCAUUGUCUGAAUGUACAACAGUUUAUUUAUCCAUUCUCCUACUGAAGGAUGUCUUGGUUGCUUCCAAGUUUGUAAAGCAGCUUCCAAGCUGCUUGAGAUACUGUGAUUUAUAAGAAAAAUAUGUAUUUGCUCAUUCAAAUAACCAAAAUAUAUUUCUCAUGUAUAUUUGGUCUUCACCUACAUUUCCUCACAGGUCUGAAAAUCCUGGGAAUUUCCUAAAUUCUGAGAGUAAUAAAAGUGUCUUUUGUUAUGCUAUAAUGAGGUAACUUUUAGAAAGCAUCUAAAAUGAGGGCUCAUUGCUCUUGUAAUGAAUCAUGUAAUUAGAAGGUUGAAACUUUCAGUCCCACCCCACCCCAGCCUCCACCAAGGGAAGAGGGGCCAGAGGUUGAACCAACCCCCAAUGGCCAAUGAUUUAAUCAAUCUUGACCAUAAAUGGAGCCUCCAUAACAACCCAAGAGGAGUGAAUUCCUUGUUGGUGGACACUUGGAGGUGCCGGAAGAAUGGUGCACCUAGAGAAGUCAUGGAAACCCUGUGUCCUUUCCCCAUACCUUGCCCUAUGCAUCUCUUCUGUUUGAGUUAUGUCUUGAGUUAUUUCCUUCCAUAUUUUAUAAGUAACUAGUGAUCUAGUAAGCAAAAUGUGUCUCUGAAUUCUGUGACCUGAUCUAGUACCUGAGGUUGUGGAAAUCUUUGAAUUAUAGCUAGUCAGUCAGAAGUAUAGAUAGCAGCUUGAACUUAUGACCAGGGUCUAAAAUCCAGGGAGGUAGUUUUGAAAGCCUCCAGUCUGUAGCUGGUCAGGCAGAUGCACAGGUAACUAUCUUAGCUGGCAGCUGGCAUCUGCAGUGGGAGGUAGCCUUGUGAUACUGAGCCCUCUACCUGUGGAAUCUGAUGCUAUCUCCAGGUAGAUAGUGUCAGAAUCUAGUUGAAUUAUAGGACACACAGAGAGCGUCCUGAGAAUUGUUUGUUGUAGGAACCCUCCCUCCCACACAAGAAAUUGAAUUUCAGAACUAGAAGACGGCUGUAAACAUCCCUGUGCAGGUUUUUGUGUGAACAUAAGUUUUCAACUCCUUUGGGUAAAUAUUAAGGAGUGUAACUCCAGAAUCAUAUGGUAAGAAUAUGUUUAAUUUUCUAAGAAACCACUAAACGGUCUUUCAAAAUGUGUGUACCAUUUUUCCAUUACCAUUAGUAAUGAAUGAGAGUUCUUAUUGCUCUGUAUCCUCACCAGCAUUUGGUGUUGUCAGUGCUUUGGAUUUUGGCAUUCUAAUGAUAUCUAAAAACAUAUCUUAUUGUUUUAAUUUUAUUUCCCUGAAGAUAUAUGAGGUAGAGCAUAUUUUCAUACACUCGCUUGUAUUUGCCAUCUGCAUAUCUUCCUUGAUGAGGUGUUGGUAGAGAUCUUUAGCUCACUUUUUAAUCAGAUUGUUUGCUUUCUUUUUGUUGAGUUUUAAGAGUUCUUUGUAUAUUUUGGCUUAUCAGAUUUUGGUCCUUUAUCAGAUGGGUCUUUUGAAAAUAUUUCUACCCAUUCUGUAUCUUGUCUUCUCAUUCUCUUGUCUUCCACAGAAUUUUUGAAUUUUAAUGAAGUCCAAUUUAUCAAUUUUUUUUUCAUGGAGUGUACUUUGGUGUCAUACCUAAAAAGUCAUUCACAUACAAAUACUUC
rnacentral:lncRNA from 1 species